CGAGGAACCUUACCUGGGCUCAAAUGUAUGUUGACGUAUUCUGAAAGGGAUACUUCUUCGGACAAUAUACAAGGUGCUGCAUGGUUGUCGUCAGCUCGUGCCGUGAGGUGUCGGGUUAAGUCCCAUAACGAGCGCAACCCUAUCAUUAGUUGCCAUCAGGUCAAGCUGGGGACUCUAAUGAAACUGCCUACGCAAGUAGUGAGGAAGGUGGGGAUGACGUCAAAUCAGCACGGCCCUUACGUCCAGGGCUACACACGUGCUACAAUGGCCGGUACAAAGGGCAGCUACCUGGUGACAGGAUGCUAAUCUCAAAAGCCGGUCUCAGUUCGGAUCGGAGUCUGCAACCCGACUCCGUGAAGCUGGAAUCGCUAGUAAUCGUGGAUCAGCCAAGCCGCGGUGAAUACGUUCCCGGGCCUU
rnacentral:rRNA from 1 species